rnacentral:rRNA from 1 species
UACGAAGGGGGCUAGCGUUGCUCGGAAUCACUGGGCGUAAAGCGCACGUAGGCGGGUCUUUAAGUCAGGGGUGAAAUCCUGGAGCUCAACUCCGGAACUGCACUUGAUACUGCCUUGCUAGAGUACUGGAGAGGAGACUGGAAUUUACGGUGUAGCAGUGAAAUGCGUAGAGAUCGUAAGGAAGACCAGUGGCGAAGGCGAGUCUCUGGACAGUUACUGACGCUGAGGCACGAAGGCCAGGGGAGCAAACGGG